GACGAACGCUGGCGGCGUGCUUAACACAUGCAAGUCGAACGGAAAGGCCCUGCUUUUGUGGGGUGCUCGAGUGGCGAACGGGUGAGUAACACGUGAGUAACCUGCCCUUGGCUUUGGGAUAACUUCACGAAACUGGGGCUAAUACCGGAUAGGAGCUCCUGCUGCAUGGUGGGGGUUGGAAAGUUUCGGCGGUUGGGGAUGGACUCGCGGCUUAUCAGCUUGUUGGUGGGGUAGUGGCUUACCAAGGCUUUGACGGGUAGCCGGCCUGAGAGGGUGACCGGCCACAUUGGGACUGAGAUACGGCCCAGACUCCUACGGGAGGCAGCAGUGGGGAAUAUUGCACAAUGGGCGGAAGCCUGAUGCAGCAACGCCGCGUGCGGGAUGACGGCCUUCGGGUUGUAAACCGCUUUCGCCUGUGACGAAGCGUGAGUGACGGUAAUGGGUAAAGAAGCACCGGCUAACUACGUG
rnacentral:rRNA from 1 species